UGGAUCACUUGAAUUCAGGAGUUCAAGACCAACCUGGCCAACAUUGCAAAAUCCCAUCUCUACAAAAAUACAAAAAAUUAGCCAGGUGUGGUGGCACACGCCUGUAGUCCCAGCUACUCAGGAGGCUGAGGUAUGAGAACCGCUUGAACUCAGAAGUUAGAGGUUGCAGUGAGCUGAGAUUGCACCUCUGCACUACAGCCUGGGUGAUAAAGCCAGCGAAA
rnacentral:lncRNA from 1 species